rnacentral:rRNA from 1 species
AGAGUUUGAUCCUGGCUCAGGAUGAACGCUGGCGGCGUGCUUAACACAUGCAAGUCGAACGAACCUUCGGGUUAGUGGCGGACGGGUGAGUAACGCGUGAGAAUCUGCCCUCAGGAGGGGGAUAACAGCUGGAAACGGCUGCUAAUACCCCAUAUGCCGCGAGGUGAAAUGAAUUUCGCCUGAGGAUGAGCUCGCGUCUGAUUAGCUAGUUGGUGUAGGUAAUGGCUCACCAAGGCAUCGAUCAGUAGCUGGUCUGAGAGGAUGAUCAGCCACACUGGGACUGAGACACGGCCCAGACUCCUACGGGAGGCAGCAGUGGGGAAUUUUCCGCAAUGGGCGAAAGCCUGACGGAGCAACGCCGCGUGAGGGAUGAAGGCCUCUGGGCUGUAAACCUCUUUUAUCAAGGAAGAAGAUCUGACGGUACUUGAUGAAUAAGCCACGGCUAAUUCCGUGCCAGCAGCCGCGGUAAUACGGGAGUGGCAAGCGUUAAUCGGAAUUACUGGGCGUAAAGCGCGCGUAGGCGGUUAAGUAAGUCGGAUGUGAAAGCCCAGGGCUCAACCCUGGAAUUGCAUUCGAUACUGCUUGACUAGAGUAUGGUAGAGGGAAGUGGAAUUUCAAGUGUAGCGGUGAAAUGCGUAGAUAUUUGAAGGAACACCAGUGGCGAAGGCGACUUCCUGGGCCAAUACUGACGCUGAGGUGCGAAAGCGUGGGGAGCGAACAGGAUUAGAUACCCUGGUAGUCCACGCCGUAAACGAUGAGAACUAGAUGUCGGGGGGGUUGCCCUUCGGUGUCGCAGCUAACGCGUUAAGUUCUCCGCCUGGGGAGUACGCCGGCAACGGUAAAACUCAAAGGAAUUGACGGGGACCCGCACAAGCGGUGGAGCAUGUGGUUUAAUUCGAUGCAACGCGAAGAACCUUACCUGCCCUUGACAUACUCGGAACUAGUCAGAGAUGACCUGGUGCCUUCGGGAACCGAGAUACAGGUGCUGCAUGGCUGUCGUCAGCUCGUGUCGUGAGAUGUUGGGUUAAGUCCCGCAACGAGCGCAACCCACGUCCUUAGUUACCAGCAUUUAGUUGGGUACCCUAAGGAGACUGCCGGUGAUAAGCCGGAGGAAGGUGUGGACGACGUCAAGUCAUCAUGGCCCUUACGGGUUGGGCUACACACGUGCUACAAUGGCAUCUACAGUGAGUUAAUCUCCAAAAGAUGUCUCAGUUCGGAUUGGGGUCUGCAACUCGACCCCAUGAAGUUGGAAUCGCUAGUAAUCGCGGAACAGCAUGCCGCGGUGAAUACGUUCCCGGGCCUUGUACACACCGCCCGUCACACCAUGGGAAUUGGGUCUACCCGAAGGUGGUGCGCCAACUAUUUAUAGGGGCAGCCAACCACGGUAGGUUCAGUGACUGGGGUGAAGUCGUAACAAGGUAACC